AUUGGUCUUUAAAGGAUUGUACCUGAGAUAACAUCUAGGGUGAGAAGUUAUUAUUUGUAACUAGAUCCUUAGUGUAUUAAGUUAGCUUUGUGUGUUUUGUUUUAUUUUGCUUGGUAACUUACUUUGUUCUGCCUGUUAUUACUUUAAACCACUUAAAUCCUACUUUUUGUAUUCAAUAAAAUCACU